rnacentral:misc_RNA from 1 species
AUUAUCACUAAUCAAGCCCGGCUUGCUGUUGGACCUCUUGUCGUUAAAAGACAGGCCCUAAAGAUAAUGACGGUGUCAGUUGGACCCUAGAUGCAACGAGCUUUAACUAGCACGCAUCUUAGUUGGCCCUUUUGACCCGGUCUUUUUUAACCAAUUUUCAGGUUGACCUCGGAUCAGGUAGGAAUACCCGCUGAACUUAA